UCUGAUGAUGAAUAGGAAUGGAAAACCAUUACCAUUUGCACAGCAAAAGGAGAGUACUGGUUGAGUAGAUUCCCCAUUAUGCAGUUAGAUUCUGCAGGUAAAUGUUUUAAUGUGCAAAACUGGAACCAGAAAUGUAUACAGAGGAGAUGCUGUCGAAGCUUGCAGAAGAAACAAAAAAAAAAAAAAACAUAAAAUUUUAUGUUAAAAAUAUUUCUUAUUUUA